AGAGUUUGAUCAUGGCUCAGGAUGAACGCUGGCGGCGUGCCUAACACAUGCAAGUCGAGCGAACCCUUCUGGGUGAGCGGCGGACGGGUGAGUAACGCGUGGGUAACCUGCCCUGUACACACGGAUAACAUACCGAAAGGUAUGCUAAUACGGGAUAACAUAUGAAAGUCGCAUGGCUUUUGUAUCAAAGCUCCGGCGGU
rnacentral:rRNA from 1 species